rnacentral:rRNA from 1 species
UACGGGAGGCAGCAGUGGGGAAUAUUGCACAAUGGGGGAAACCCUGAUGCAGCGACGCCGCGUGAGCGAAGAAGUAUUUCGGUAUGUAAAGCUCUAUCAGCAGGGAAGAAAAUGACGGUACCUGACUAAGAAGCACCGGCUAAAUACGUGCCAGCAGCCGCGGUAAUACGUAUGGUGUAAGCGUUAUCCGGAUUUACUGGGUGUAAAGGGAGCGUAGACGGCUGUGUAAGUCUGAAGUGAAAGCCCGGGGCUCAACCCCGGGACUGCUUUGGAAACUAUGCAGCUAGAGUGUCGGAGAGGUAAGUGGAAUUCCCAGUGUAGCGGUGAAAUGCGUAGAUAUUGGGAGGAACACCAGUGGCGAAGGCGGCUUACUGGACGAUGACUGACGUUGAGGCUCGAAAGCGUGGGGAGCAAACAGGAUUAGAUACCCUGGUAGUCCACGCCGUAAACGAUGACUACUAGGUGUCGGGGAGCAA